GUCUAUUAAAUGAGUCUAUCUCAAACUGAAGGCAUAGCUUUUGAAGGUUAACUGUGAAGCUCAUGUUUGUCCAGGUCAGACUUUCAGCCCCUUCCUCCCAGGGCAUCUGUGACACAGGUAUCCAUCCAGCUUUUUCCUUAAGACCCUAGAUAACAGAGGCUUACACCAAGCAGAAGUGGAUGUCCUUCUCCUCUAAGCUGUCCAGGACUGAUAGAGGGGCUCCCUCCUGUCAGCAACCCAGGUUCCCCUUCUAUUUUGGUUGCUUUGCUGAAUUUCAGGUGUUGCCUUCAUCUGUUUUCUCCAAGAUGGUUCACCACCAUCUUGUAUGGGAGAAAGGAGUAGGGAGAGCACAGCCCACCCUUUAACAUCCUGACCAGGCAUUGCCCCCAUCAACCCUGGCAUAAGGGGUAGGACGCAUUGGGGGGGCCACAGAAAGCAGUAGUUAAGCAUGUGGACUUUGGGCCAGACCACUUGGGUUUAAAUUCUGGUUCUACCACUUACCAGCUCAUUAACCUCAGAUAAAUUUUCAGCCAUUUCAUGCCUCUGUUUCUUUACUUGUACAGUGGGGAUGAUGAUGAAUAGCAUUAUCUCCUAAUCAUUGCUGAGGCUUAAAUGGGCUACUAUGUAAAAACGGGAGGCUUUACAUUUACAUAUCAAUUAAAUUUAUAUGUUGUAUAUAAGUUUAUAUAUUAGAUGUAAAACAUAAAUGGGCUAUUAUG